rnacentral:rRNA from 1 species
AUUGCUGGAACGCGCUUCGGCGCACCCAGAAACCCUUUGUGAACUUAUACCUAUUGUUGCCUCGGCGAAGGCCGGCCUCUCUUCUGAGGCCCCCCGGAGACGGGGAGCAGCCCGCCGGCGGCCAACCAAACUCUUGUUUCUUAGUGAAUCUCUGAGUAAAAAAACAUAAAUGAAUCAAAACUUUCAACAACGGAUCUCUUGGUUCUGGCAUCGAUGAAGAACGCAGCGAAAUGCGAUAAGUAAUGUGAAUUGCAGAAUUCAGUGAAUCAUCGAAUCUUUGAACGCACAUUGCGCCCUCUGGUAUUCCGGAGGGCAUGCCUGUUCGAGCGUCAUUUCAACCCUCAAGCCUGGCUUGGUGUUGGGGCACUGCCUGUAAAAGGGCAGGCCCUGAAAUCUAGUGGCGAGCUCGCUAGGACCCCGAGCGUAGUAGUUAUAUCUCGUUCUGGAAGGCCCUGGCGGUGCCCUGCCGUUAAACCCCCAACUUCUGAAAUUUUGACCUCGGAUCAGGUAGGAAUACC